rnacentral:rRNA from 1 species
CUAUACAUGCAGUCGAGCGAACAGAUGAAGUGCUUGCACUUCUGACGUUAGCGGCGAACGGGUGAGUAACACGUAAGGAAUCUACCUAUAAGCGGGGGAUAACAUUCGGAAACGGGUGCUAAUACCGCAUAAUAUCUUCUUCCGCAUGGAAGAAGAUUGAAAGACGGCUCUGCUGUCACUUAUAGAUGACCUUGCGGUGCAUUAGUUAGUUGGUGGGGUAACGGCCUACCAAGACGAUGAUGCAUAGCCGACCUGAGAGGGUGAUCGGCCACAUUGGGACUGAGACACGGCCCAAACUCCUACGGGAGGCAGCAGUAGGGAAUCUUCCGCAAUGGGCGAAAGCCUGACGGAGCAAUGCCGCGUGAGUGAAGAAGGCCUUCGGGUCGUAAAACUCUGUUAUAAGAGAAGAACAAAUUGUAGAGUAACUGCUACAGUCUUGACGGUAUCUUAUCAGAAAGCCACGGCUAACUACGUGCCAGCAGCCGCGGUAAUACGUAGGUGGCAAGCGUUGUCCGGAUUUAUUGGGCGUAAAGGGAGCGCAGGUGGUUUCUUAAGUCUGAUGUGAAAGCCCACGGCUUAACCGUGGAGGGUCAUUGGAAACUGGGAAACUUGAGUACAGAAGAGGAAUGUGGAACUCCAUGUGUAGCGGUGGAAUGCGUAGAUAUAUGGAAGAACACCAGUGGCGAAGGCGACAUUCUGGUCUGUUACUGACACUGAGGCUCGAAAGCGUGGGGAGCAAACAGGAUUAGAUACCCUGGUAGUCCACGCCGUAAACGAUGAGUGCUAGGUGUUGGA